GAAGGUAUAACUCAGUGAUAGAGUGUGUGCUUAGCACACACAAGGUCCUGGGUUCAAUCCCCAGUACCUCCA
rfam:Camelus ferus unplaced genomic scaffold scaffold16594, whole genome shotgun sequence.